UACGAGGGAGGCAAAUGUUGUUCGGAAUCACUGGGCGUAAAGGGAGCGUAGGCGGGUUUCUAAGUCAGGUGUUUAAUCCCGGGGCCCAACCCCGGACAGGCACUUGAAACUGGGAAUCUUGAAUAGUGGAGAGGUCAGUGGAAUUGGGGGUGUAGCGGUGGAAUGCGUAGAGAUCCCCAAGAACACCAGUUGCGAAGGCGGCUGACUGGACACAUAUUGACGCUGAGGCUCGAAAGCAUGGGGAGCAAACAGG
rnacentral:rRNA from 1 species